UGGCUAGAAACGAUGAAUCGUAGUAGGUUUCGGCCCUUCCUUAGGUGAUAAAUCACCCUGGCCAU
rnacentral:tRNA from 1 species